rnacentral:sRNA from 1 species
GGGUGUGGUGGAGCACGCCUGUAAUCCCAGCAGCUUAGGAGGCUGAGGCAGGGGGAUUGAGAGUUCAAAGCAAGCCUCAGAAAAAGCAAGGUGCUUAGCAACUCAGUGAGACCCUGUCUCUA